rfam:Acidobacteria bacterium 13_1_40CM_3_65_5 13_1_40cm_3_scaffold_12892, whole genome shotgun sequence.
GGCGGUAUCGUCUAGGGGUCAGGACACGUGGUUCUCAGCCACGGGACCGGGGUUCGAAUCCCCGUACCGCUA